UCCUGGUUACCUCAGUUGGUAGACCGCUCCACUGGGAAUGGAGAGUCCUUUGGUUUGACACCAUGACCAGGCG
rnacentral:tRNA from 1 species